UACUUCUGGCGGCGACCGGCGGAAGGGUGCGUAACGCGUGAGCAACAUUCCCGCAUCUGGGGGAUAAGCACUGGGAACGGUGUCUAAUACCCCAUAACAACAGGAGUCACAUGACUUUUGUUUGAAAGCUGCGACGGAUGCGGAUUGGCUCGCGUGACAUUAGCUAGUCGGCGGGGUAACGGCCCACCGAGGCGACGAUGUCUAGGGGUUCUGAGAGGAAGGUCCCCCACACUGGAACUGAGACACGGUCCAGACUCCUACGGGAGGCAGCAGUGAGGAAUAUUGGUCAAUGGGCGGAAGCCUGAACCAGCCAUGCCGCGUGAAGGAAUAAGGCCCUAUGGGUCGUAAACUUCUUUUGUGGUGGAGCAAUAAGGGCUACGCGUAGUCCGAUGAGAGUACAUCACGAAUAAGCAUCGGCUAACUCCGUGCCAGCAGCCGCGGUAAUACGGAGGAUGCAAGCGUUAUCCGGAUUUAUUGGGUUUAAAGGGUGCGUAGGCUGUGCCGCAAGUCGGGGGUGAAAGCCCGGGGCCCAACCCCGGAACUGCCCUUGAUACUGCGGCGCUGGAGUUCGGAUGCCGUGGGAGGAAUGAGUAGUGUAGCGGUGAAAUGCAUAGAUAUUACUCAGAACACCGAUUGCGAAGGCAUCUCACGAAUCCGACACUGACGCUGAGGCACGAAAGCGUGGGGAUCAAACAGGAUUAGAUACCCUGGUAGUCCACGCAGUAAACGAUGAUGACUAACUGUCGGCGAUAAACAGUCGGUGGCCAAGCGAAAGCGAUAAGUCAUCCACCUGGGGAGUACGUUCGCAAGAAUGAAACUCAAAGGAAUUGACGGGGGCCCGCACAAGCGGAGGAACAUGUGGUUUAAUUCGAUGAUACGCGAGGAGCCUUACCCGGGCUCGAACGGCUAGUGAACGACCCAGAGAUGGAAGCCUCCGUC
rnacentral:rRNA from 1 species